CCUACGGGAGUCAGCAGUGGGGAAUAUUGGACAAUGGGCGAAAGCCUGAUCCAGCCAUGCCGCGUGUGUGAAGAAGGCCUUCGGGUUGUAAAGCACUUUCAGUGGGGAAGAAAGCCUUGGGGCUAAUACCCUCGAGGAAGGACAUCACCCACAGAAGAAGCACCGGCUAACUCCGUGCCAGCAGCCGCGGUAAUACGGAGGGUGCGAGCGUUAAUCGGAAUUACUGGGCGUAAAGCGCGCGUAGGCGGUCUGAUAAGCCGGUUGUGAAAGCCCCGGGCUCAACCUGGGAACGGCAUCCGGAACUGUCAGGCUAGAGUGCAGGAGAGGAAGGUAGAAUUCCCGGUGUAGCGGUGACAUGCGUAGAGAUCGGGAGGAAUACCAGUGGCGAAGGCGGCCUUCUGGACUGACACUGACGCUGAGGUGCGAAAGCGUGGGUAGCAAACAGGAUUAGAUACCCCAGUAGUC
rnacentral:rRNA from 1 species